rnacentral:rRNA from 1 species
AGUGAACGCUGGCGGCGUGCUUAACACAUGCAAGUCGAACGAGAACGGAUUAUAGCUUGCUAUAAUUGUCAGCUAAGUGGCGCACGGGUGAGUAAUGUAUAGGUAAUAUGCCUCUUACUAAGGGAUAACAAAUGGAAACGUUUGCUAAUACCUUAUACUCCUUAUUAACAUAAGUUAAUAAGGGAAAGAUUCAUUGGUAAGAGAUUAGCCUGUAUUGUAUCAGUUAGUUGGUGGGGUAAUGGCUUACCAAGACUAUGACACAUAACUGGUUUGAGAGGAUGAUCAGUCACACUGGAACUGAGACACGGUCCAGACUCCUACGGGAGGCAGCAGUGAGGAAUAUUGCACAAUGGACGAAAGUCUGAUGCAGCAACGCCGCGUGGAGGAUGACACAUUUCGGUGCGUAAACUCCUUUUAUAUGAGAAGAUAAUGACGGUAUUAUAUGAAUAAGCACCGGCUAACUCCGUGCCAGCCGCCGCCGUAA